rnacentral:rRNA from 1 species
CACGUAGGGGCCAAGCGUUGUCCGGAUUUAUUGGGCGUAAAGAGCUCGUAGGCGGUUCGACAAGUCGGGUGUGAAAACUCCGGGCUCAACCCGGAGACGCCACCCGAUACUGUCGUGACUGGAGUCCGGUAGGGGAGUGGGGAAUUCCUGGUGUAGCGGUGAAAUGCGCAGAUAUCAGGAGGAACACCGGUGGCGAAGGCGCCACUCUGGGCCGGUACUGACGCUGAGACGCGAAAGCGUGGGGAGCAAACAGG